rnacentral:rRNA from 1 species
AACGCUAGCUACAGGCUUAACACAUGCAAGUCGAGGGGCAGCAUUGGAGUAGCAAUACUUCAGAUGGCGACCGGCGCACGGGUGAGUAACACGUAUCCAACCUGCCGCUUACUCGGGGAUAGCCUUUCGAAAGAAAGAUUAAUACCCGAUGGUAUAAAGAGUUCGCAUGUUCUCUUUAUUAAAGAAUUUCGGUAAGCGAUGGGGAUGCGUUCCAUUAGAUAGUUGGCGGGGUAACGGCCCACCAAGUCUACGAUGGAUAGGGGUUCUGAGAGGAAGGUCCCCCACAUUGGAACUGAGACACGGUCCAAACUCCUACGGGAGGCAGCAGUGAGGAAUAUUGGUCAAUGGACGCGAGUCUGAACCAGCCAAGUAGCGUGAAGGAUGACUGCCCUAUGGGUUGUAAACUUCUUUUAUGCGGGGAUAAAGUGAGGGACGCGUCCCUUUUUGCAGGUACCGCAUGAAUAAGGACCGGCUAAUUCCGUGCCAGCAGCCGCGGUAAUACGGAAGGUCCGGGCGUUAUCCGGAUUUAUUGGGUUUAAAGGGAGCGUAGGCCGGCUUUUAAGCGUGUUGUGAAAUGCCGCGGCUCAACCGUGGCACUGCAGCGCGAACUGGAGGCCUUGAGUGCGCGGGAGGUAGGCGGAAUUCGUGGUGUAGCGGUGAAAUGCUUAGAUAUCACGAAGAACUCCGAUUG